rnacentral:rRNA from 1 species
GAUGAACGCUGGCGGCGUGCCUAAUACAUGCAAGUCGAGCGAACGGACGAGAAGCUUGCUUUUCUGAUGUUAGCGGCGGACGGGUGAGUAACACGUGGAUAACCUACCUAUAAGACUGGGAUAACUUCGGGAAACCGGAGCUAAUACCGGAUAAUAUUUUGAACCGCAUGGUUCAAAAGUGAAAGACGGUCUUGCUGUCACUUAUAGAUGGAUCCGCGCUGCAUUAGCUAGUUGGUAAGGUAACGGCUUACCAAGGCAACGAUGCAUAGCCGACCUGAGAGGGUGAUCGGCCACACUGGAACUGAGACACGGUCCAGACUCCUACGGGAGGCAGCAGUAGGGAAUCUUCCGCAAUGGGCGAAAGCCUGGCGGAGCAACGCCGCGUGAGUGAUGAAGGUCUUCGGAUCGUAAAACUCUGUUAUUAGGGAAGGACAUAUGUGUAAGUAACUGUGCACAUCUUGACGGUACCUAAUCAGAAAGCCACGGCUAACUACGUG